GCGGAUGUAGUUCAAUGGUAGAACAUCAGCUUCCCAAGCUGAAUACGCGGGUUCGAUUCCCGUCAUCCGCUCCA
rnacentral:tRNA from 32 species